UAGGGAAUCUUCCGCAAUGGGCGAAAGCCUGACGGAGCAACGCCGCGUGAGUGAUGAAGGUCUUCGGAUCGUAAAACUCUGUUAUUAGGGAAGAACAAAUGUGUAAGUAACUAUGCACGUCUUGACGGUACCUAAUCAGAAAGCCACGGCUAACUACGUGCCAGCAGCCGCGGUAAUACGUAGGUGGCAAGCGUUAUCCGGAAUUAUUGGGCGUAAAGCGCGCGUAGGCGGUUUUUUAAGUCUGAUGUGAAAGUCCACGGCUCAACCGUGGAGGGUCAUUGGAAACUGGAAAACUUGAGUGCAGAAGAGGAAAGUGGAAUUCCAUGUGUAGCGGUGAAAUGCGCAGAGAUAUGGAGGAACACCAGUGGCGAAGGCGACUUUCUGGUCUGUAACUGACGCUGAUGUGCGAAAGUGUGGGGAUCAAACAGG
rnacentral:rRNA from 1 species